rnacentral:lncRNA from 1 species
ACCUACCACAAGAAUUCACAACAUUAACACAUCCGACUAUUGCACGAAAUUAAAGAACACUUACCUACCACAAUUUGAACAAGGAACACGGAACCAAAACGCAACGAUUUGAACGAAUCUUUUGCGAACAGAAUUCAAAGAAAAGAAGAAACAAAAAGUUUACAAAGAAAGACAGAAAAACAAAAACAAUUGGAAGAAAAAGAGUUUGGGAAAAGAGAAAAGAAAAAAGUCAAGUGUGGAAAGGAGUUUUGGGGGAAAAAAAUUAAAAAAACAAAAACCACUAAAUUCCUCAACUCCCCACUAACCCACUAACCAACAUUAUCCCACAAAAUCCUACCCGCUAACCAUAUCUAACUACCUUAUAAUUUCACUUCCACCAAACCUCUAUCACACAACCGAAGCAAAAAUAACAUCCUUUAAUC